ACUCCAAAUUAAUAUAGUGUUUAUAGCCACUUACAUAAUAAUGAGGGUGUUGCUACGCUUUCCUCUGUACAAGCUGGUGGUGUAUCAAUUCGUUCUUCCUUAACUUUGGGACUUUCACAGGGUUCCUGCAAUUCGUUUUUGACAAUGUUCAACAUAAUAUUCAAGGGGUUUUCAACUGGUGUCUUGCUGGGAGAUGGUGUACAAUCAAAUGAAGAUGUCUACAAAAUGAAAGGCCCUAUGAGUACUGAUGAAAGUUCAAAAUUCUCACAUUAAAUAAUAUUUAGUUUUGUAAGACCCUUGUAUGGACAAGAGAACACACAUACAACCAAAUGCAAAUGAAACACCUGCCUCCCAACAAAAUGUGCCAUAAAGACAACCAAAAAUAAAAUAUAUAUUGCACGUUCAA
rnacentral:lncRNA from 1 species